rfam:Firmicutes bacterium CAG:129 genomic scaffold, scf143
AUAAUGAUACAUUCGCCCAGCCACAGUCCGAGCGUGAAGCGGUCCUGACGGACCGUGAGCCGUCGCAGGCAAUGGGGGCGAUCUGCGAAACCCGCAGGGGGUGAGAGUCCCAUGC